CUGGGCCAGAACAGUGCCGUCAUAGCCAGGGUACGCAGGGCCCUUUUCAUUGGGUACUGCAUUUACUUAGGCCACAAGAGACGGAGUGACCCUACCUUCAAGAACAGGCUGUGAGAACAAAGAAAGACACAGAAGCUUGCCAAGGAGAGAGCUGAGCUUUGCAAGUGACCUGACCUUAAAGUUGCUGAAGCUGUUCAGAAAUCUUCUUUGAAGAAAUACAGCUCAGAGAAGAGUUACUAGCUCAAGGUGAGUGUGAGAAGGACAUGGAGCAUCUGAUGACAGGGAGUGCUGGGUGUGGACAGUUACUGCGAGUGUCCAGUGGUCCAAUGCUCCUGAGUAAACUCCCAACAAUUAUCAGAAAAUUGUAAGCACUCAGAGCUCUGCUAAAG
rnacentral:lncRNA from 1 species